GCGAUAAGCGCCGGUAAGGUGAUAUGAACCGUUAUAACCGGCGAUACCCGAAUGGGGAAACCCAGUGUGAUUCGUCACACUAUCAUUAACUGAAUCCAUAGGUUAAUGAGGCGAACCGGGGGAACUGAAACAUCUAAGUACCCCGAGGAAAAGAAAUCAACCGAGAUUCCCCCAGUAGCGGCGAGCGAACGGGGAGGAGCCCAGAGCCUGAAUCAGCAUGUGUGUUAGUGGAAGCGUCUGGAAAGGCGCGCGAUACAGGGUGACAGCCCCGUACACAAAAGCGCAUGUGCUGUGAGCUCGAUGAGUAGGGCGGGACACGUGGUAUCCUGUCUGAAUAUGGGGGGACCAUCCUCCAAGGCUAAAUACUCCUGACUGACCGAUAGUGAACCAGUACCGUGAGGGAAAGGCGAAAAGAACCCCGGCGAGGGGAGUGAAAAAGAACCUGAAACCGUGUACGUACAAGCAGUGGGAGCNNGGGCGUUAAGUUGCAGGGUAUAGACCCGAAACCCGGUGAUCUAGCCAUGGGCAGGUUGAAGGUUGGGUAACACUAACUGGAGGACCGAACCGACUAAUGUUGAAAAAUUAGCGGAUGACCUGUGGCUGGGGGUGAAAGGCCAAUCAAACCGGGAGAUAGCUGGUUCUCCCCGAAAGCUAUUUAGGUAGCGCCUCGUGAAUUCAUCUCCGGGGGUAGAGCACUGUUUCGGCUAGGGGGCCAUCCCGGCUUACCAACCCGAUGCAAACUGCGAAUACCGGAGAAUGUUAUCACGGGAGACACACGGCGGGUGCUAACGUCCGUCGUGAAGAGGGAAACAACCCAGACCGCCAGCUAAGGUCCCAAAGUCAUGGUUAAGUGGGAAACGAUGUGGGAAGGCCCAGACAGCCAGGAUGUUGGCUUAGAAGCAGCCAUCAUUUAAAGAAAGCGUAAUAGCUCACUGGUCGAGUCGGCCUGCGCGGAAGAUGUAACGGGGCUAAACCAUGCACCGAAGCUGCGGCAGCGANNUGCUGGAGGUAUCAGAAGUGCGAAUGCUGACAUAAGUAACGAUAAAGCGGGUGAAAAGCCCGCUCGCCGGAAGACCAAGGGUUCCUGUCCAACGUUAAUCGGGGCAGGGUGAGUCGACCCCUAAGGCGAGGCCGAAAGGCGUAGUCGAUGGGAAACGGGUUAAUAUUCCCGUACUUGGUGUUACUGCGAAGGGGGGACGGAGAAGGCUAUGUUGGCCGGGCGACGGUUGUCCCGGUUUAAGCGUGUAGGUGUGUGUUCCAGGUAAAUCCGGUUCACUUUAACACUGAGGCGUGACGACGAGGCACUACGGUGCUGAAGCAACAAAUGCCCUGCUUCCAGGAAAAGCCUCUAAGCAUCAGGUAACAUCAAAUCGUACCCCAAACCGACACAGGUGGUCAGGUAGAGAAUACCAAGGCGCUUGAGAGAACUCGGGUGAAGGAACUAGGCAAAAUGGUGCCGUAACUUCGGGAGAAGGCACGCUGACACGUAGGUGAAGUGAUUUACUCAUGGAGCUGAAGUCAGUCGAAGAUACCAGCUGGCUGCAACUGUUUAUUAAAAACACAGCACUGUGCAAACACGAAAGUGGACGUAUACGGUGUGACGCCUGCCCGGUGCCGGAAGGUUAAUUGAUGGGGUCAGCGCAAGCGAAGCUCCUGAUCGAAGCCCCGGUAAACGGCGGCCGUAACUAUAACGGUCCUAAGGUAGCGAAAUUCCUUGUCGGGUAAGUUCCGACCUGCACGAAUGGCGUAAUGAUGGCCAGGCUGUCUCCACCCGAGACUCAGUGAAAUUGAACUCGCUGUGAAGAUGCAGUGUACCCGCGGCAAGACGGAAAGACCCCGUGAACCUUUACUAUAGCUUGACACUGAACAUUGAGCCUUGAUGUGUAGGAUAGGUGGGAGGCUUUGAAGUGUGGACGCCAGUCUGCAUGGAGCCGACCUUGAAAUACCACCCUUUAAUGUUUGAUGUUCUAACGUGGACCCGUAAUCCGGGUUGCGGACAGUGUCUGGUGGGUAGUUUGACUGGGGCGGUCUCCUCCUAAAGAGUAACGGAGGAGCACGAAGGUUGGCUAAUCCUGGUCGGACAUCAGGAGGUUAGUGCAAUGGCAUAAGCCAGCUUGACUGCGAGCGUGACGGCGCGAGCAGGUGCGAAAGCAGGUCAUAGUGAUCCGGUGGUUCUGAAUGGAAGGGCCAUCGCUCAACGGAUAAAAGGUACUCCGGGGAUAACAGGCUGAUACCGCCCAAGAGUUCAUAUCGACGGCGGUGUUUGGCACCUCGAUGUCGGCUCAUCACAUCCUGGGGCUGAAGUAGGUCCCAAGGGUAUGGCUGUUCGCCAUUUAAAGUGGUACGCGAGCUGGGUUUAGAACGUCGUGAGACAGUUCGGUCCCUAUCUGCCGUGGGCGCUGGAGAACUGAGGGGGGCUGCUCCUAGUACGAGAGGACCGGAGUGGACGCAUCACUGGUGUUCGGGUUGUCAUGCCAAUGGCACUGCCCGGUAGCUAAAUGCGGAAGAGAUAAGUGCUGAAAGCAUCUAAGCACGAAACUUGCCCCGAGAUGAGUUCUCCCUGAGACUUAGAGUCUCCUGAAGGAACGUUGAAGACGACGACGUUGAUAGGCCGGGUGUGUAAGCGCAGCGAUGCGUUGAGCUAACCGGUACUAAUGAACCGUGAGGCU
rnacentral:rRNA from 1 species